CUAUAUUACUAGGGUUAGGGUUAUAGGGAGUAAGGUGCUCAAUUAACCUUCAGCCGCCGUCAAACGGCGUUCUCGCCGGCGGCGGCGACAUUGCCAAGAACCUAUUUUGAAUCCGAUCUGAAUUUAUCUCAAGCUGCUUAACAUACGGACUUUCCUUGUCUAUUACUUGCAUACACACCAAAACUAGAUAUAGGAAGAAGAUGCUAAAGGAACUCUUGAUUUGCAAGGCCAAGUAGAAAUCAUUUGCUUGUUUGAAGGAAUUGGUGCUAUACCUUGCCUAAAAACUCUGGUCUGCAAAGUUGCUACGACAAACUAAGGAGCUUGUUGUCUUAUACCAGAUCGUGCUGACAGUGAGACAUGUUUCAGUUAUUUGUAUGACAAAGCGUGGUGAAGAAGCUACUUGCCGUAUCUCACAACAACCAGUCUUCGAAGAUUGAUGAAAUAGUGGUUUGGAAGGUGAGGUAGAAAAAGCUUAUGAAGCCAUUUAGCUGAAUGUUCAAAUCAAUCGGUGACCACUUGGACUUGGUAAGACAACUCUAACCAAGAACAUGUAUAAAUUGCAAGUACAUGACUAUUCACGUUGUUGUUUGAGCAUGGUAUAAGUUUCCCAAGUACAUAAGAAGAGAAAUUCGUCAAUUGGAAAUUUCAUUGAAGGAAAUAACUUAACAUUCGACAAAUUUCUUUUCUCUCAUACUUGUGAAAUGCAACAACAUGCUCAAAUGUUAAAAGUGGAAAGUUUGUAUUUGUAAUUAUAUAUUUUUUUGGCUAGAGUUGUCUUGCCAAGUCAAGUAUCCAAUUGAUUUGAACCUUUGGGUCGGUGGCUUCAUGAUCUUCUUAUGCCUCAGCUUCAUCACCUACCACUAUAUCAUCAAUUCUCGGAGAGUGUGCUCUGAACAUACAAUCCAUACCAUUUUUACUUAGAAGCUAAAUGUUGACAUUGAUAUGGUUGUUCCGUUGUUGAUAUUUGAUGAUUUGCUCUUGAAAAUGAACAAGAGGGAGGAAAUUACUUUAACAUUUGAAGUUUGUAUGGAAAUUGUUGGCACUAUUGUAGGAUUUGGCGAAAAAGAAUAUUUGGAUUUAAGUUGCUUGCCUGGGAAUUUGGAUAUUGUAUAACCUGAGUGUAACUGUAUUUUUUUCA